GAUCAGAUUAAGUCGGUGCAUCGCCUCUUGAGCACUACUGGGCUACAUGGACGCUUGUGUAAUUUGUGGAGGCGUAAAGUUAUCAUAUCUAAUUAAUCUCGGUGUCAUUAUCGCGUGGUGUGAUCGUGCCCAGUGCUAGAACGUGGUGCAGACUUGGCGGAAGGUGCCAACAUAGCGGCAGAAUUGACAGGCAGGUCAGGUGCUGAGGUGUGAUAUUACUUACCUGCCUGUCUCCUGGGCCUUGGUUGGUGCCUGUCUCGUGGCCAUCCCCGGGCGUCGCUGCGUUCAAGGCCUGGCGAGCAGCUGAGACACAUGACAACUCGAGAAGCGUGACACGUGCCCAUGUUGACAGAAUUGACGUUUAAGAGCUUAAUUAACGUAACGAUCCGUCCAUUACGCCUCCCUUUGUCUCAGCGGCGUGCACUCAAUCAUCGGGCGGCGCGUGGCGGUGUGUUGUCACGGAGCUAUAGCGGUGACACUCAGGCGCUGUCAGGUCGCGUGUUUGGUGCGUGGAACUGGUGCUUCCCCCCACACCUACAAACAACUUUCUAGGCUCACAGCAGGACAGCGUGAACGAAGCAUCGCUUGUGGUUGGUUUUGAGCACAACCCAGCCGAGCAAGUGUGAACUCCUGCUAACCUACCUAUGUUAUAUAUAUGCCUGAUUGUGUCGAAAUAAACCAGUUUCUG